rnacentral:tRNA from 1 species
GCCGAUAUAGCUCAGUUGGUAGAGCAUCUCACUUGUAAUGAGAAUGUCCUCCGUUCGACUCGGGGUAUCGGCUCCA